rnacentral:rRNA from 1 species
AUUGAACGCUGGCGGCAUGCCUUACACAUGCAAGUCGAACGGCAGCACGGGUGCUUGCACCUGGUGGCGAGUGGCGAACGGGUGAGUAAUACAUCGGAACGUACCUUAGCGUGGGGGAUAAAGCAGCGAAAGCUGUGCUAAUAACGCAUACGCCCUGAGGGGGAAAGCGGGGGAUCGAAAGACCUCGCGGGAUUAGAGGCGCCGAUGCCUGAUUAGCUUGUUGGUGGGGUAAAAGCCAACCAAGGCGACGAUCAGUAGCUGGUCUGAGAGGACGAUCAGCAACACUGGGACUGAGACACGGCCAGACUCCUACGGGAGGCAGCAGUGGGGAAUUUUGGACAAUGGGGGCAACCCUGAUCCAGCAAUGCCGCGUGAGUGAAGAAGGCCUUCGGGUUGUAAAGCCCUUUUGUCAGGGAAGAAACACCGGCUCUAACACAGUCCGGGAAUGACGGUACCUGAAGAAUAAGCACCGGCUAACUACGUGCCAGCAGCCGCAGUAA